GUUCCAGUGGCGCAAUUGGUUAGCGCGCGGUACUUAUAAUGCCGAGGUUGUGAGUUCGACCCUCACCUGGAACA